rnacentral:ribozyme from 1 species
UGAAGGCGGAAAUCAAAGUGUCUGACUUCGGCCUCGCCACCUACUACAAAGACGGCCAGCCCAAGCUGGAAGGCCUGAUGGGGACACCAGGAUUUAUUGCCCCAGAGAUGAUCAAAAGACAGGGAUACACCACCC